UGGGAACGCCUUGGGUCCUGGAUGGCAACCACCCAGACAGACAGCUGGUUCAUCCCCACUUCUCGAACAUAACCAUCUAUCUUCUGAAACCAGGUGAAACGUGGGCGGCCUCUUGGCCUUUUCUAGCCGAUGGGGUUCUCAACACUCUGUCACAAGUGCUG